rnacentral:rRNA from 1 species
UACGUAGGGUGCGAGCGUUAAUCGGAAUUACUGGGCGUAAAGCGUGCGCAGGCGGUUUUGUAAGCCAGAUGUGAAAUCCCCGGGCUCAACCUGGGAAUGGCAUUUGGGACUGCAAGGCUGGAGUGCGGCAGAGGAGACUGGAAUUCCUGGUGUAGCAGUGAAAUGCGCAGAUAUCAGGAAGAACACCCGUGGCUAAGGCGGCUCUCUAGUACGGUACUGACGCUGAGACGCGAAAGCGUGGGGAGCGAACAGG